UUCACCUUUGUUCAACCAUUUGUGUAUUUUCACUUAUUUCUCCUAUGUCUGGUCCUGCUUCAGCAAAUUUGAAGCUUAUGCCCUGGAAGAGAAGCAUGAAAGAUCAGAGAGAGGGUUAUCAGAAAGGGAGUUCCAUAGUUGGUAAUGGGAGGAAGGACAGUAGCAUGUUUCCAGAAGUUGACAGUACUUGAAAAGCACAAUUGAUCUGUGAUUAGGAGGUAGAGGAUGAAGUCUUCAAACUUCUCUGGAAAAUUCGUGCUCCUUCCAAUGUCUUGGCCUUUGUCUGGAGAUGCUUCCUUAACAGAAUUCAGACGCGAGAAAAUUUGUGCAAGAGAGGGGUUAUUAAUCAGGGGCAGAACAACACAUGUGUUUUUUUAUGAGGAAGUGGAGGAAUCUAUUACUCGUCUUUUAUUUUCUUGUCAUUGUUCUGGGGUUAUUUGGUCAAGAUGCUACAAGUGGAUGUGUAUACAGAUAGUCCUACCUCAGGGGACAGCAGAGCACUUUUUGCAACAUUGUGGCACGGGAAAGCUUGAGGGAAGGCUGGGGAGGUUGGUGGUUUGGUGCGCUUGUGUGUGGUCGAUCUGGUUAUCAAGGAAUGAAGCAAUGUUCAGGUCUGCAGGAUUUGAUAAAGACAAACUCUUGGAGGUAAUUCCCUCUUGUGAGACCCAAGUUUUUAAGUUUAGAAUAAACCGAAUAAAAUUCCUAUUCACGAUUAGUUUUGAUGUAACGUGAAGGAAAACCUGAACAAGUUUAUCGAAUGGAAUUAAUUUA